UACAGGGGGCUCGAGCGUUAGUCGGAAUCACUGGGCUUAAAGGGUGCGUAGGCGGCCCGCCAAGUGCUUUGUGAAAUCCCACAGCUCAACUGUGGAACAGCAGGGCAAACUGGCGGGCUUGAGGCAGGUAGGGGCCGGAAGAACAGUUGGUGGAGCGGUGAAAUGCGUAGAUAUCAACUGGAAUGCCGAUGGGGAAGCCGUCCGGCUGGGCCUGUCCUGACGCUGAGGCACGAAAGCGUGGGGAGCAAACAGG
rnacentral:rRNA from 1 species